AUACGGAGGAUCCGAGCGUUAUCCGGAUUUAUUGGGUUUAAAGGGUGCGCAGGCGGCCAUUUAAGUCAGCGGUUAAAUCGUGGGGCUCAACCCCAUUCUGCCGUUGAUACUGGGUGGCUUGAUUGCGGUCGAGGUUGGCGGAAUUCGUUGUGUAGCGGUGAAAUGCAUAGAUAUGACGAAGAACACCGAUUGCGUAGGCAGCUGACCAGACCGCAAAUGACGCUCAUGCACGAAAGUGCGGGGAUCGAACAGGAUUAGAUACCCUGGUAGUCCGCACAGUAAACGAUGAAUACUUGUUUUCGGCGAUAUAAUGUCGGAGGCAAAGCGAAAGCGAUAAGUAUUCCACCUGGGGAGUAAGCCGGCAACGGUGAAACUCAAAUGAAUUGGCGGGG
rnacentral:rRNA from 1 species